rnacentral:rRNA from 1 species
ACGGGUGAGUAACGCGUGGGAAUCUACCGUACCCUACGGAAUAGCUCUGGGAAACUGGAAGUAAUACCGUAUACGCCCUUCGGGGGAAAGAUUUAUCGGGGUAUGAUGAGCCCGCGUUGGAUUAGCUAGUUGGUGGGGUAAAGGCCUACCAAGGCGACGAUCCAUAGCUGGUCUGAGAGGAUGAUCAGCCACAUUGGGACUGAGACACGGCCCAAACUCCUACGGGAGGCAGCAGUGGGGAAUAUUGGACAAUGGGCGCAAGCCUGAUCCAGCCAUGCCGCGUGAGUGAUGAAGGUCUUAGGAUUGUAAAGCUCUUUCACCGGAGAAGAUAAUGACGGUAUCCGGAGAAGAAGCCCCGGCUAACUUCGUGCCAGCAGCCGCGGUAAUACGAAGGGGGCUAGCGUUGUUCGGAAUUACUGGGCGUAAAGCGCACGUAGGCGGGUAUUUAAGUCAGGGGUGAAAUCCCAGAGCUCAACUCUGGAACUGCCUUUGAUACUGGGUAUCUUGAGUAUGGAAGAGGUAAGUGGAAUUGCGAGU